rnacentral:hammerhead_ribozyme from 1 species
AUCCAGCUGACGAAUCUCAAAUAGGAUGAAAAUCACGUCUUGGAU